ensembl:ncRNA ZC412.13 ncRNA
CUACUUUUGAAAGACGAGGGCACUGAGCUCCCUUGCUCUCACCCCUAUUUUGGUCGUGAGCUCUGCACUCUCUUCUCUCUAUUCUUGCUUCUCUUAGGCUUCCACUUCCAAAAUGGAUCAAUUCGUGUUUGUC